GAGGAUCAUUAAUGAAUUGUAAUUGGAGUUGAUGCUGGCAGUGGCUGCAUGUGCUCGCUCCUAACAAUCUUCAUCCAAACACCUGUGCACAUUUAGAGAGGGUCUCCGAGUUCUCCUUGGAGUCCCUUCCUCUCAUUAUACACUAGGUUUUUAAUAUUGAACGUGAUUGUGCCGUGAGGCCUUAAUAUUAAUACAACUUUUAACAACGGAUCUCUUGGCUCUCGCAUCGAUGAAGAACGCAGCGAAAUGCGAUAAGUAAUGUGAAUUGCAGAAUUCAGUGAAUCAUCGAAUUUUUGAACGCACCUUGCGCUCCCUGGUAUUCCGGGGAGCACGCCUGUUCGAGUGUCGUAAAAUUCUCAAACUGGGAUGCUUUUUUGUUUCUCGGCUUGGUGUUGGGCUUUGCAGUUCCUUUGAUUGGGAUAGCUGGCCUCAAAAGCAUUAGCUGGCUUUUCAUGUGGCAUUGGUUCUACUCAGCGUGAUAAUGAUCUGACCGCCGAGGACAUCUUUCGGGAUGGCCAAUUCUCAUUUGGGCUGCUUCUAAUUUUGGUAGAGCGGAUUCUGAAUCUGUUCCACUUUUCAGCUUUUGACCUCGAAUCAGGUGGGACUACCCGCUGAACUUAAGCAUAUCAAUAAGNCGGAGGA
rnacentral:rRNA from 1 species